rnacentral:lncRNA from 1 species
GGCGCGCUUGAGGUGAUGAAAGCAGAAAAGAUAGCUGCAAAUUUGUACAUGCUUAAAGGAGAGACACUACAAGAAGGAGAAGCAUUUGUCGCAUCGACAGGUUCAGUAGAAGAAUUAAUGAUGAUGUGGCAUCGCAAGCUUGCUCACAUGUCGGAACGUGGUUUGAAAAUUCUCUCUGAACAAAAGCUUCUUCCGGGGCUCAAAAAGGUUUCAUUACCCUUUUGUGAGCAUUGUGUUACUAGUAAGCAGCACAGAUUGAAGUUCAGCAGUUCCACUGCUAGAAGUAAAGCUAUCUUGGAGCUGGUCCAUUCCGAUGUUUGGCAAGCACCGGUUAUAUCCCUAGGAGGUGCAAGAUACUUUGUAUCUCUUAUUGAUGAUUACUCCAGGAGAUGUUGGGUGUAUCCAAUCAAAAGGAAGGCAGACGUGUUUGCAGUCUUCAAAAUAUUCAAAGCGCGUGUGGAGCUUGAAUCUGAAAAGAAGAUCAAGUGUCUGAGGACUGAUGAUGGAGGAGAAUAUACCGAUAAUGAAUUUGAUAACUUCUGUCAAGAAGAAGGUAUCAAGAGGCAGUUCACUGUGGCAUACACUCCACAGCAAAAUGGAGUGGCAGAGCGAAUGAACAGAACAUUGUUAGAAAGAACAAGGGCAAUGUUGAGAACUGCGGGGUUAGCCAAGUCAAUUUGGGCAGAAGCAGUCAAAACCGCCUGUUAUGUGAUCAAUCGGUCGCCAUCAACCGCAAUUGAUCUGAAGACGCCUAUGGAAAUGUGGACUGGUAAACCAACUGAUUAUUCUCACUUACAUGUGUUUGGAAGUCCUGUGUAUGUUAUGUACAACACCCAAGAAACAUCAAAGUUAGAUCCAAAAUCCAGAAAAUGUAUUUUCUUAGGAUAUGCUGAUGGAGUGAAGGGGUACCGCCUGUGGGAUCCCACUGCCCACAAGGUGAUAAUCAACAGAGAUGUCAUAUUUACGGAAGGUAAAAUGCAAGAAAAAGAAAAUGAUAGCACUUCAAAAGAAAAACUAGAGACUACUACAGUCGAAGUUGGAGACGAACGAGAACUUAUAGAUACUUUUGAAGCAACACUAGAGCACGAAGAACAAGC